rnacentral:SRP_RNA from 1 species
CGACGGGGGCGGACGACGCCACACCUCGAACCUGGUCAGGGCCGGAAGGCAGCAGCCAUAAGGGGCCUCUGGCGGGCGUCCGUUCCCGUCGAGC